rnacentral:rRNA from 1 species
AUUGAACGCUGGCGGCAUGCUUUACACAUGCAAGUCGGACGAGUGGCGGACGGGUGAGUAACGUCUGGGAACGUGCCCGGUGGUGGGGGAUAACUGUUGGAAAGGGUAGCUAAUACCGCAUACUAUUCGAUCUGCCCAUGUUGGAUUAGCUGGUAGGUGGGGUAACGGCGCACCUAGGCGACGAUCCCUAGCGGGUCUGAGAGGAUGAUCGGCCACACUGGAACUGAGACACGGUCCAGACUCCUACGGGAGGCAGCAGUGGGGAAUAUUGGACAAUGGGCGCAAGCCUGAUGCAGCCAUGCCGCGUGUAUGAAGAAGGCCUUCGGGUUGUAAAGUACUUUUGGCGGGGAGGCGGUACCCGCAGAAGAAGCACCGGCUAACUCCGUGCCAGCAGCCGCGGUAAUAC